CUUGGUCAUUUAGAGGAAGUAAAAGUCGUAACAAGGUGUCCUUCCCAGCGGAUCGACGGAAGCCUUUGCACCCUGUGGAGGGGUCCCAACGACUGAAAAUAAGGGACAGCAAGUCACCUCGCUCGAGGCGGCAACAUGAUCGAAUUGCGGGGACAGCCUAAAGCUCACAGCACCAACGCGCCGGGGAAACUCGGCGGGGAUGGUUAUAGCCCGUGAGAUGUACCAAUGGCCGAUCCGCAGCGAAGCUCCUACCGGCACCGCCUAGGGAGAUCGUUCACAGACUAAGUGAUCGUGGGUAGCACCGCUGCUUAAGAUAUAGUCGGGCCACGGGGAGACCCAGUGGGUGAGUCGCUAGAACACACGUUCCGUAGGUGAACCUGCGGAAGGAUCAUUAACAUAGCACAACGCCGCGAGGCGUGCCCUCACGGGUGCGUCCCGACACCGUGCUCAAAGGGGGUCGUACAUGCUUCCGUGACACUCUUGACAGGGGAAACCCGAUCGGGUCGAGGGGAGGCUGAUUGGCGACUUACUACUACAUCCUUUGUGAACUUUACCAUUGUUGCUUUGGCGGGCCGCAUCUGCCCUCGGCUCACGCUGGGGAGUGCCCGCCAGAGGACCCAACUCUUGAUAUUAGUGAUGUCUGAGUACUAUAUAAUAGUUAAAACUUUCAACAACGGAUCUCUUGGUUCUGGCAUCGAUGAAGAACGCAGCGAAAUGCGAUAAGUAAUGUGAAUUGCAGAAUUCAGUGAAUCAUCGAAUCUUUGAACGCACAUUGCGCCCCGUGGUAUUCCGCGGGGCAUGCCUGUUCGAGCGUCAUUAUGACCAAUCAAGCUCAGCUUGGUAUUGGGGCCUGCCAUGAGGCAGCCCUUAAACGUAGUGGCGGCGCCCCGUGGCUCUCAGCGUAGUAAUACUUCUCGCUCUAGGGUCCGCGUGGAUGCUCGCCAGCAACCCCCAACUCUCAGGGUUGACCUCGGAUCAGGUAGGGAUACCCGCUGAACUUAAGCAUAUCAAUAAGCGGAGGA
rnacentral:rRNA from 1 species